GGGAUGGCUAACGCAAGUGAAGUUCUGCUACAAGAUGGCGGCACGCGGCCGACUUCAACUUCCGGUCGACUUCCUUGGGCACUGCUCUGCACACGUCUACAGAUCUUUUUGGCACUAUCUUUCCGCAGAGUGUGUGACUACGAUCCACACGUGUAGUCAGCCACUCAGGGGUAUUGCUUCAAUGUGAUAUCACGCCCCCUCAAUAAGCCCUUUUCAAAAUAAGAGCUGACACUUCUCUGAUGUGUGGGCUGGGCUCACUGCCAUUUACCGUUGCCGGUGUCACAGCGCUGACAGGCGGACAGAGCCUGGGCAGCGCUGCAGUAGGAGUAAAAUCUUUAAUACGUGGAAGGGGGAGCUUCCACGGGACCUGCCACCGUUAUAUGCGCCUGCCUCGGGACCUGCCACGGUUAUGCGCGCCUGCCUCGGGACCUGCCACGGUUAUACGCGCCUGCCUCGGGACCUGCCACGGUUAUACGCGCCUGCCUCGGGACCUGCCACAGUUAUACGCGCCUGCCUCGGGACCUGCCACGGAUAUAUGAUGCAUAUAUGAUAUAUGCCGAUUGAUGAAUGCGUGCAAACAGUGCAAUCCUGCUCUUAUGUACCUAUUUAUCAUCUUAACUUAAUAUUUUAUUCGCUCGUAUUGCCCAUAAUAGAGCGCGUCUCGUGGCUCCUACUCGCGUCGCGCCUGCCUCAAGAUCUCUCACUGUUUACAGGUACCAGACACUCUGAUUGACACAUGAGAGCAAACGGAUACAUAAAUAAGAGCAGGAUUGCACAAUUUGUCAUCUUAACUUAUAUUUUAUUCGCUCUUAUUGCCCAUAUGGAGCGCGUCUCUUAGCUCCUACUCGCGUUGCGCCUGCCACGGCUUAGCGUCGCGUCUGCCUCAAGAUCUCUCACUGUUUACAGCUACCAGACACCCAGGACUGAUGCAGGAGAGCACAGAACAAAACAUGUCACAGCCAAGGUAACCCUAUUAAUCCUAAAAAAGACAGAGGGCUUCCACAGGUUCCAGGCACAAACGGCUUUGCAACCAAAGGGACAUUUGGGAGCAUCCACAGAUUCUGAUCCUGAAUGGUUUUGAUGACAAAGGGAUUCCUCCUGUUGCUGCACCACACAUUGUGCUACUGUCUGGACUUUUCUCUGUGCCCCCUUCCCUGUUAUCUUUAUCAAAUUUGUUGAAUAAUACAGUCUAAAAAGUCACUUUGCAGAACUAAUAUAGUUACUUAUUUUGUACAGCAUAACCUUUUGAGUUUGCCUUAAUGCCACAAUGUGUAGCCCAUUUUUUACAAUCAUAUUUUUUUUACAUUUUUUUCUCUGCUUAAGGUGUCUGAGACCAUAUUACAAUAAAUAAAUAAAAAUAAAAACUAAUGCUGUUUCAGUGUUGUUGAAUGACACAAAUACUUAAAGAAAUGUUUUAUAAAGACUGUCAAAAUCUUAUUAACUUACUAAACUAGUACUUAAAAAGAUCCUUAAACAAUAUUUCACAGACCACAAUGUGAUUUUACCUGUUCAAUUUACUCACCUUGGCUGUGACAUGUUUUGUUCUGUGCUCUCCUGCAUCAGUCCUGGGUGUCUGGUAGCUGUAAACAGUGAGAGAUCUUGAGGCAGACGCGACGCUAAGCUGUGGCAGGCGCGACGCUAGUAGGAGCUAAGAGAACGCGCUCCAUAUGGGCAAUAAGAG